rnacentral:rRNA from 1 species
GGGGACAACCCGCCGAAAGGCGGGCUAAACCCGCGUACAUGCCACCGGGGCAUCCCGGAGGCAGGAAAGGCUUCGGCCGGACAGGGAUGGGCAUGCGGCGCAUUAGGCAGUAGGCGGGGUAACGGCCCACCUAACCGACGAUGCGUAGGGGUUCUGAGAGGAAGGUCCCCCACACUGGUACUGAGACACGGACCAGACUCCUACGGGAGGCAGCAGUGAGGAAUAUUGGUCAAUGGUCGGGAGACUGAACCAGCCAAGCCGCGUGAGGGAUGAAGGUACAGAGUAUCGUAAACCUCUUUUGUCAGGGAACAAAGGCGGGGACGUGUCCCCGGAUGAGUGUACCUGAAGAAAAAGCAUCGGCUAACUCCGUGCCAGCAGCCGCGGUAAUACGGAGGAUGCGAGCGUUAUCCGGAUUUAUUGGGUUUAAAGGGUGCGCAGGCGGUCUGUUAAGUCAGCGGUCGAAGCCCGGGGCUCAACCCCGGUCCGCCGUUGAAACUGGCAGUCUCGAGUUGGAGAGAAGUAUGCGGAAUGCGCGGUGUAGCGGUGAAACGCAUAGAUAUCGCGCAGAACUCCGAUUGCGAAGGCAGCAUGCCGGCUCCACACUGACGCUGAGGCACGAAAGCGUGGGUAUCGAACAGGAUUAGAUACCCUGGUAGUCCACGCAGUAAACG